UGAAACCCCAAAGAAGAAGAAGAAGAAGAAGAGCAAGAGCAAGACGCGUCAGACUACACGUGCGCAACGAUAUUUGACUCUCUGCACACCUGCGUGACCCCCUGCAAAGUUUUUCUUCGAUUGGUUUUGACAGAGGGACGUCUUACCUUUUCAACGGCUGGUAAAGGUCCUUAAUGAAAGGUGUGUUUUGUGUACCUGCCAAGGUGCGUUACUCACAAUAGAUAUUGAAUGUGGCAGUGUAAAGGUUGCGGUUCAAAGACCUCAACUAGAUGUCAGUUACUAAAACAUUAUAGGUUAAAACAUCCUCAAUAUGGGUGUAGGCACCCAUAUCCUUGCCCAUAUACUAGUUGUCCAUGUACAUUCAAGUCAUGGAAUGCACUUUGAUCACACCUCUGUAGAGCCCAUAACAGAGACUCAUCUCAGCAAACAUCAUCAUUGGCUACAUUCAGAUGUCAAGUUUGUGCAUUCGCUGAACUUGGCAAUGAUAAGGAAUAUUUAAGUCACAUAAAUCUGCAUCUUAAAUCCCAUG